CUUUGACCAAUCACAAAAGACCUUGUUGGAGCUGCUACAUGACCCUACCGCUUAGUGUCAGGAGGCUUGUCUAAUCUCUUAAUUUACAAACUAUUUUGCAGUUCAUGUACUAUUGUUGCCUUAAUCAAUAUACAAGGAUGGAUAAUUUGUAAGCAACUAUAUUGAAUUUUUGAAAGCUUUCACACAUUGAAAGGAAUUACAGUAUCAUGUCUGUCCUAACAGUUGAAACAGUUAUAAAUAUAUUUGAAUUAUGUACUGUACAUGUAUAAUAAAGAUAACUUGAAGUAUUCUAUAUUCACUAGCAUGUCAUAGUUCUAACUUUCUGGUCCUUAUUAAGCACACAGUAUCUCACACACACUACCAGUAAUAUGGCUGACAUACUAAGGAGUAAGGUGAUAAAUUUCUCUUUUGGUACAUGCAGUCAAAAGUGUUUUUAGUGACUGUAUGUAUCCCAU